CAGACCUACUGCCGGCGACAGGGGCAGACCCGCGGGAGGCGCUGAUGAGCUGCUCCCUAGGAGGAUGUGACUGAAGGGGCCGGCGGUUGGAGCUGGGAAUGCAGGCUAGAGGAUAAGAGAACAUCAUAUUGGACAAAUUCACAGGACCCAGGAAACAGGGUUUCACAGGGACAUGCGGGAAAGCUCAGAGGGAUUGCACUGACUUUUGAGAGAUGAUUCGGGGACACUGUGGAAGGCCAGAGUCGGCACUAACCCUCCCUUCCUUCCAGUUGCAGGUGGCAGUCACUGGGAGAACCACUCACCUGCCGCCUAGGCUGGGGCCAGUGGGGCAGCACAGAAGGGCUUCCACAUCCGGGCUCCAUCUCUGUCAAUACCAGGAGCGCCCAUCAGCCGUAGUUGACCUGUUCCCCCCACCCUCCUCUUGAGGCAGCUUGGAACAUUGAGAGGUGAGUUAUCCUUUGAGGUCAUCCCUCCACUUCAGUGUCUCCAGACGAAGUACAAGGGGCUCGGAUAGCUGGACUCAACCCAGGAGGAGAAGUA
rnacentral:lncRNA from 1 species